GGAUGAACGUUGGCGGCGUGCCUAAUACAUGCAAGUCGAACGAAGACUGUAGUAAUACUGUCUUAGUGGCGAACGGGUGAGUAACGCGUGGGUGACCUGCCCCGAAGUGUGGGAUAACAGUCCGAAAGGAUUGCUAAUACUGCAUAAUAUCCAAGAGAUUAGACGCUUUUGGAUUAAAGGAGUAAUUCGCUUCGGGAGGGGCCCGCGCCCCAUCAGCUAGUUGGUAAGGUAAUGGCUUACCAAGGCUUUGACGGUUAGCUGGUCUGAGAGGAUGGUCAGCCACACUGGGACUGAGAUACUGCCCAGACUCCUACGGGAGGCUGCAGUCGAGAAUCAUUCGCAAUGGGCGCAAGCCUGACGGUGCGACGUCGCGUGGAGGAUGAAGGUCUUCGGAUUGUAAACUCCUGUCAUGUGGGAGAAAUGGCCCGGGUCUGAACAGGACCUGGGAAUGAUAGUACCACAGGAGGAAGGGACGGCUAACUCUGUGCCAGCAGCCGCGGUAAUUCAGAGGUCCCGAGCGUUGUUCGGAUUUACUGGGCGUAAAGGGAGCGUAGGCGGUUCGGUAUGUCGAAUGUGAAAGCCCACAACUCAACUGUGGAAAUGCAUCCGAAACUGCCGGGCUAGAGUACUGGAGAGGAGAGCGGAAUUCUUGGUGUAGCGGUGAAAUGCGUAGAUAUCAAGAGGAACACCGGUGGCGAAGGCGGCUCUCUGGACAGAUACUGACGCUGAGGCUCUAAAGUUAGGGGAGCAAACAGGAUUAGAUACCCUGGUAGUCCUAACCUUAAACGGUGUACACUUGGUGUGCGAGGAAUUGUCCCUUUGCGCGCCGCAGCUAACGCGUUAAGUGUACCGCCUGGGGAGUACGGUCGCAAGACUAAAACUCAAAGGAAUUGACGGGGACCCGCACAAGCGGUGGAGCAUGUGGCUUAAUUCGAUGCAACGCGAAGAACCUUACCUGGACUUGACAUGCUGGUGGUAGAAUCCUGAAAGGGAGACGACGGUCGCAAGAUCGAGCCAGCACAGGUGCUGCAUGGCUGUCGUCAGCUCGUGCCGUGAGGUGUUGGGUUAAGUCCCGCAACGAGCGCAACCCCUGUGGCUAGUUGCCCUUAUUCAGUUAGGCACUCUAGCCAGACUGCCUGUGAUAAGCAGGAGGAAGGUGGGGAUGACGUCAAGUCAGUAUGGUCCUUAUGUCCAGGGCUGCACACGUGCUACAAUGACCGGUACAGAAGGAAGCAAGGCCGCGAGGCGGAGCUAAUCCCCAAAACCGGUCCCAGUUCGGAUUGGAGUCUGCAACCCGACUCCAUGAAGCCGGAAUCGCUAGUAAUGGCGCAUCAGCUACGGCGCCGUGAAUACGUUCCCGGGUCU
rnacentral:rRNA from 1 species